rnacentral:misc_RNA from 1 species
UUUUUUUUUUUUUGGAAACAACCAUUGUGCAAAAAAUAGGUCAAUUGAAGGCUGCAUAGAGUUUAUGGUUCUUUCUCAUUGAGGAUGUCCUGGCCUUUAUAUUUAAUGAGAACAUAAAAAACUUGUAUUCUUUUUGUCAUUUGUAUGUUUUGGUUGGAUGUCAGUUACUUGGAUGUGUAGUAAGUGCUUUUGUAUUCACUGAACAUCUAGAAUGGCCCUCUAGUUAAAAUUACUUCCCAUAAUUGGCAUAAUGGCCAUUGACUAACAUCUAACGUAAGGGUCAGUUGUUUAAGUUUUGCCUGUGUCAUUUGUAUGUUUUU